UCAGGAUUAAAACCACCACUAUCACCACCACCACCACCACAAUCAUCAUCAUUGUGUGUGUGUGUGUUGUGGUGUGUGUUGGCUUGUGCACCACCUCGCCACACCGCGCCACAGCUUGCCACAGCUCACCACAGCACACUACACGACUUAGUGCCUGACAAACUAUUCCUGUAUUUUGGAAGAAUUGAGAUUGACGGCAGGCUUGACACCACCUCGGCCCACCCCAGCCCACCUCAGCCCACCCCAGCCCACCCCAGCCCACCCCAGCCCACCUCGGCCCACCUGGUCUGAGCCGAGCCAAGAUGAUACACGUAUUUCUUGUCGACACUGGGACCAUGUUGACAUUUGAGAUGAACUUAGCACUUGAGAGUGUUGAAGUCUUGAAAGGAGCGAUACACAAUGCUGUCAGAGUUCCGCCAGAGAAGCAGGUACUGCUGGCCUCAGGUGGCGAGACACUAGACUCCUGCCAAAGGGUGUGUCAUUACUCAGCUGGCACCGACACAUCGCCAAUCUUCCUCUUCUCAAAAGUUGCCAUAGAGGGUGCAGCUCCGCCAACUCCCUCUGUGAAACCUGGCAGUGAUGGUGAUCUUCGGGUGAGUUCUCUUCACAAAA